CCGGCCGCGGCCCUGGGAGCAGGAGGAGCAGCGAACCAUAUGGAAGAAGAGCAGUGAGGUCUCCAUUUACCUGUUCUUGCACGUUCCUGCCUCGCUCAUGUUUUCCUUCAGUCUCUCCAGAGACUCAGCAGGCAUGACUGGAGAGGGAAAUCCCAAUGGUGCUAGAAUGGUGCUACAGUGGCAGAAGACGGCUCACAAGUGAAGUCUGGAAGAACGUCAGGGAAGGCAUCCAUCACUUGCUCCAAGUGUGCAAUUCAGAUCCUGGGGAGAAAA